rnacentral:rRNA from 1 species
CGGCGGACGGGUGAGUAACGCGUGGGUAACCUACCCUGUACACACGGAUAACAUACCGAAAGGUAUGCUAAUACGGGAUAAUAUAUUUGAGAGGCAUCUCUUAAAUAUCAAAGGUGAGCCAGUACAGGAUGGACCCGCGUCUGAUUAGCUAGUUGGUAAGGUAACGGCUUACCAAGGCGACGAUCAGUAGCCGACCUGAGAGGGUGAUCGGCCACAUUGGGACUGAGACACGGCCCAA